UCGAGCGGUAGCACAGAGAGCUUGCUCUCGGGUGACGAGCGGCGGACGGGUGAGUAAUGUCUGGGAAACUGCCUGAUGGAGGGGGAUAACUACUGGAAACGGUAGCUAAUACCGCAUAAUGUCGCAAGACCAAAGUGGGGGACCUUCGGGCCUCAUGCCAUCAGAUGUGCCCAGAUGGGAUUAGCUAGUAGGUGGGGUAAUGGCUCACCUAGGCGACGAUCCCUAGCUGGUCUGAGAGGAUGACCAGCCACACUGGAACUGAGACACGGUCCAGACUCCUACGGGAGGCAGCAGUGGGGAAUAUUGCACAAUGGGCGCAAGCCUGAUGCAGCCAUGCCGCGUGUGUGAAGAAGGCCUUCGGGUUGUAAAGCACUUUCAGCGGGGAGGAAGGCGGUGAGGUUAAUAACCUCAUCGAUUGACGUUACCCGCAGAAGAAGCACCGGCUAACUCCGUGCCAGCAGCCGCGGUAAUACGGAGGGUGCAAGCGUUAAUCGGAAUUACUGGGCGUAAAGCGCACGCAGGCGGUCUGU
rnacentral:rRNA from 1 species